rnacentral:rRNA from 1 species
CACGUGGGCAACCUGCCCAGAGCGGGGACAACAGGGGGAAACUUCUGCUAAUACCGCAUGUGGAUCAGAAAGGCAUCUUUCAGGAUCUAAAGCCGCAAGGCACUCUGGGAUGGGCCCGCGGCCUAUCAGCUUGUUGGUAAGGUAACGGCUUACCAAGGCUACGACGGGUAGCUGGUCUGAGAGGGCGACCGGCCACACUGGGACUGAGACACGGCCCAG